CUACAUGUACCGGUAGAUAGGAGCUUGCGGUAUACAUAUAAAAAAGCCCACAAGUUCGGAUCUACGGGUUAGUAUCAU
rnacentral:pre_miRNA from 21 species